CCUACGGGAGGCAGCAGUGGGGAAUAUUGGACAAUGGGGGCAACCCUGAUCCAGCCAUGCCGCGUGUGUGAAGAAGGCCCUCGGGUUGUAAAGCACUUUCAGUGAGGAAGAACGCCUGGUGGUUAAUACCCAUCAGGAAAGACAUCACUCGCAGAAGAAGCACCGGCUAACUCCGUGCCAGCAGCCGCGGUAAUACGGAGGGUGCGAGCGUUAAUCGGAAUUACUGGGCGUAAAGCGCGCGUAGGUGGCUUGAUAAGCCGGUUGUGAAAGCCCCGGGCUCAACCUGGGAACGGCAUCCGGAACUGUCAAGCUAGAGUGCAGGAGAGGAAGGUAGAAUUCCCGGUGUAGCGGUGAAAUGCGUAGAGAUCGGGAGGAAUACCAGUGGCGAAGGCGGCCUUCUGGACUGACACUGACACUGAGGUGCGAAAGCGUGGGUAGCAAACAGGAUUAGAUACCCCAGUAGUC
rnacentral:rRNA from 1 species